CGCGUAGACGGUUGUCUAAGUCUGGAGUGAAAGUCCUGCUUUCAAGGUGGGAAUUGCUUUGGAGACUGGAUGACUUGAGUGCGGAAGAGGUAAGUGGAAUUCCCAGUGUAGCGGUGAAAUGCGUAGAGAUUGGGAGGAACACCAGUGGCGAAGGCGACUUACUGGGCCGUAACUGACGUUGAUGCGCGAAAGCGUGGGGAGCGAACA
rnacentral:rRNA from 1 species